UACGUAGGGUGCGAGCGUUAAUCGGAAUUACUGGGCGUAAAGCGUGCGCAGGCGGUUCGCUGUGUCCGAUGUGAAAGCCCCGGGCUUAACCUGGGAAUGGCAUUGGAAACUGGCGGGCUUGAGUGCGGCAGAGGGGGGUGGAAUUCCGCGUGUAGCAGUGAAAUGCGUAGAUAUGCGGAGGAACACCGAUGGCGAAGGCAGUCCCCUGGGCCUGUACUGAUGCUCAUGCACGAAAGCGUGGGGAGCAAACAGG
rnacentral:rRNA from 1 species